rnacentral:rRNA from 1 species
AGUUUGAUUCUGGCUCAGAUUGAACGCUGGCGGGAUGCUUUACACAUGCAAGUCGAACGGCAGCACGGACUUCGGUCUGGUGGCGAGUGGCGAACGGGUGAGUAAUGUAUCGGAACGUGCCUAGUAGCGGGGGAUAACCUGCAUAAGCGUAGCUAAUACCACAUACGCCCUUCGGGGGAAAAGCGGGGGACCUUCGGGCCUCGCACUAUUAGAGCGGCCGAUAUCGGAUUGGCUAGUUGGUGGGGUAACGGCUCACCAAGGGCGACGAUCCGUAGCUGGUUUGAGAGGACGACCAGCCACACUGGGACUGAGACACGGCCCAGACUCCUACGGGAGGCAGCAGUGGGGGAAUUUUGGACAAUGGGGAAACCCUGAUCCAGCCAUCCGCGUGUGCGAUGAAGGCCUUCGGGUUGUAAAGCACUUUUGGCAGAAAGAAACGGCACGGGAUAAUACCCCGUGCAACUGACGGCUACCUGCAGAAUAAGCACCGGCUAACUACGUGCCAGCAACCGCGGUAAUACGUAGGGUGCAAGCGUUAAUCAGGUUACUGGGCGUAAAGCGUGCGGGCGGUUCGGAAAGAAAGAUGUGAAAUCCCAGAGCUUAACUUUGGAACUGCAUUUUAACUACCGAGCUAGAGUGUGUCAGAGGAGGUGGAAUUCCGCUGUAGCAGUGAAAUGCGUAGAUAUGCGGAGGAACACCGAUGGCGAAACAGCCUCCUGGGAUAACACUGACGCUCAUGCGAAAGCGUGGGGAGCAAACAGGAUUGGAAUACCCUGGUAGUCCACGCCCUAAACGAUGUCAACUAGCUGUUGGGGCCUUCGGGCCUUGGUAGCGCAGCUAACGCGUGAAGUUGACCGCCUGGGGAGUACGGUCGCAAGAUUAAAACUCAAAGGAAUUGACGGGGACCCGCACAAGCGGUGGAUGAUGUGGAUUAAUUCGAUGCAACGCGAAAAACCUUACCUACCCUUGACAUGUCUGGAAUCCCGAAGAGAUUUGGGAGUGCUCGCAAGAGAACCGGAACACAGGUGCUGCAUGGCUGUCGUCAGCUAAUGCUGUCGUGAGAUGUUGGGUUAAGUCCGCAACGAGCGCAACCCUUGUCAUUGGUGCUACGAAAGGGCACUCUAAUGAGACUGCCGGUGACAAACCGGAGGAAGGUGGGGAUGACGUCAAGUCCUCAUGGCCCUUAUGGGUAGGGCUUCACGUCAUACAAUGGUCGGGACAGAGGGUCGCCAACCCGCGAGCCAAUCAGAAACCCGAUCGUAGUCCGGAUCGCAGUCUGCAACUCGACUGCGUGAAGUCGGAAUCGCUAGUAAUCGCGGAUCAGCAUGUCGCGGUGAAUACGUUCCCGGGUCUUGUACACACCGCCCGUCACACCAUGGGAGUGGGUUUUACCAAGUAGUUAGCCUAACCGUAAGGAGGGCGAUUACCACGGUAGGAUUCAUGACUGGGGGUGAAGUCGUAACAAGGUAG